UUCCCCUAGUAACUGCGAGUGAAGCGGGAAAAGCUCAAAUUUAAAAUCUGGCGGUCUUUGGCCGUCCGAGUUGUAAUCUAGAGAAGUAAUGCCCGUGCUGGACCGUGUAUAAGUCUCCUGGGAUGGGGCGUCAUAGAGGGUGAGAAUCCCGUCUUUGACACGGACUACCAGUGCAUUGUGGUAUGCUCUCAAAGAGUCGAGUUGUUUGGGAAUGCAGCUCAAAAUGGGUGGUAAAUUCCAUCUAAAGCUAAAUAUUGGCGAGAGACCGAUAGCGAACAAGUACCGUGAGGGAAAGAUGAAAAGAACUUUGGAAAGAGAGUUAAACAGUACGUGAAAUUGCUGAAAGGGAAACGCUUGAAGUCAGUCGCGUUGGCCGGGAAUCAGCCUUGCUUUUGCAUGGUGUACUUUCUGGUUGACGGGUCAGCAUCAAUUUUGACUGCUGGAAAAGGGCCUGGGGAAUGUGGCAGCUUCGGCUGUGUUAUAGCCCCUGGUCACAUACAGUGGUUGGGAUUGAGGAACUCAGCACGCCGCAAGGCCGGGUUUCGACCACGUUCGUGCUUAGGAUGCUGGCAUAAUGGCUUUAAGCGACCCGUCUUGAAACACGGACCAAGGAGUCUAACAUGCCUGCGAGUAUUUGGGUGGAAAACCCGAGUGCGCAAUGAAAGUGAAAGUUGAGAUCCCUGUCGUGGGGAGCAUCGACGCCCGGACCAGAACUUUUGGGACGGAUCCGCGGUGGAGCAUGUAUGUUGGGACCCGAAAGAUGGUGAACUAUGCCUGAAUAGGGUGAAGCCAGAGGAAACUCUGGUGGAGGCUCGUAGCGAUUCUGACGUGCAAAUCGAUCGUCAAAUUUGGGUAUAGGGGCGAAAGACU
rnacentral:rRNA from 1 species